GAGCAAAUACAGCUCUUCUAGAAUUUUUCUAACUGGGUUUCUGGCUUUUGUUGGAAAAUUCAAG
ensembl:snRNA LOC120093943 U7 small nuclear RNA